rnacentral:antisense_RNA from 1 species
CUUCAGCGAACCCAGCCACAGCGGGCGGUCCGCCGGCCGGCCCUGGCCAUAGGUGGCCAGCAGGGCCUGCGCCUC